rnacentral:rRNA from 1 species
UACAGAGGUCUCAAGCGUUGUUCGGAUUCAUUGGGCGUAAAGGGUGCGUAGGCGGCGCGGUAAGUCGGGUGUGAAAUCUUGGAGCUUAACUCCGAAACUGCAUUCGAUACUGCCGUGCUUGAGGACUGGAGAGGAGACUGGAAUUUACGGUGUAGCGGUGAAAUGCGUAGAUAUCGUGAAGGAAGACCAGUGGCGAAGGCGGGUCUCUGGACAGUUCCUGACGUGAGGCACGAAGGCCAGGGGAGCAAACGGG